rnacentral:rRNA from 1 species
UACAGAGGUGGCAAGCAUUGUUCGGAAUUACUGGGCGUAAAGGGCGCGUAGGCGGCCAUCUAAGUCAGACGUGAAAUCCCCCGGCUUAACCGGGGAACUGCGUCUGAUACUGGUUGGCUUGAAUUCGGGAGAGGGAUGUGGAAUUCCAGGUGUAGCGGUGAAAUGCGUAGAUAUCUGGAGGAACACCGGUGGCGAAGGCGGCAUCCUGGACCGACACUGACGCUGAGGAGCGAAAGCCAGGGGAGCAAACGGG